rnacentral:rRNA from 1 species
AAUAUUGGACAAUGGGGGCAACCCUGACGCAGCCACGCCGCGUGCCGGAAGAAGGCCCUAUGGGUUGUAACCGGCUUUUAUUCGGGAAGAAAGUCCGGGAUUCGUCCUGUUUUGACGGUACCGAAUGAAUAAGCACCGUCUAACUCCGUGCCAGCAGCCGCGGUAAUACGCAGGGUGCAAGCGUUGUCCGGAAUCAUUGGGUGUAAAGGGUGCGUAGGCGGGCACUUAAGUCUGGGGUGAAAUCUUGCCGCUUAACGGUAAAAUUGCCUUGGAUACUGAGUGUCUUGAAUCUGGUAGAGGUUGGCGGAAUUUGUGGUGUAGCGGUGAAAUGCAUAGAUAUCACAAAGAACACCGGUGGCGAAGGCGGCCAACUGGGCCAGUAUUGACGCUGAGGCACGAGAGCGUGGGGAGCAAACA